rnacentral:rRNA from 1 species
UGCAAGUCGAGCGAGAAGGUUUAGAUUGACGCUUCGGUUGAUUUCUAAGCUGGACAGCGGCGAAAGGGUGAGUAACGCGUAGUUACGUGCCCCAGGGUUGGGAAUAGCCUCGGGAAACUGAGGGUAAUACCCAAUAAUAUCUCCGGAUCAAAGGUGAGAUUCCGCCCUGGGAGCGGACUGCGUACUACUAGCUUGUUGGUGGGGUAAUGGCCUACCAAGGCUUCGAUGGUUAGCGGGCGUGAGAGCGUGGCCCGUCACACUGGGACUGAGACACUGCCCAGACACCUACGGGUGGCUGCAGUCGAGAAUCUUCGGCAAUGGACGAAAGUCUGACCGAGCGAUGCCGCGUGCGGGAUGAAGGCCUUCGGGUUGUAAACCGCGAAAGUAAGGAGGAAGGCGCUGUGAAGAGCAGCGUUUGACCAAUUUAUAGUAAGGACGGGCUAAGUUCGUGCCAGCAGCCGCGGUAAUACGAACCGUCCAAACGUUAUUCGGAAUUAUUGGGCUUAAAGGGUGCGUAGGCGGCGCGUUAAGUCGGGUGUGAAAUCCCACAGCUCAACUGUGGAACUGCGCCCGAUACUGGCGUGCUUGAGGGAGACAGAGGUAAGCGGAACUGAUGGUGGAGCGGUGAAAUGCGUUGAUAUCAUCAGGAACACCAGUGGCGAAAGCGGCUUACUGGGUCUCUUCUGACGCUGAGGCACGAAAGCUAGGGUAGCGAACGGGAUUAGAUACCCCGGUAGUCCUAGCCGUAACGAUGAGCACUUG